UACGGGGGGGGCAAGCGUUGUUCGGAAUUACUGGGCGUAAAGGGCUCGUAGGUGGCCCACUAAGUCAUACGUGAAAUCCCUCGGCUUAACCGGGGAACUGCGUCUGAUACUGGAUGGCUUGAAUCCGGGAGAGGGAUGCGGAAUUCCAGGUGUAGCGGUGAAAUGCGUAGAUAUCUGGAGGAACACCGGUGGCGAAGGCGGCAUCCUGGACCGGCAUUGACGCUGAGGAGCGAAAGCCAGGGGAGCAAACGGG
rnacentral:rRNA from 1 species